GACAGAGGGUGCAAACGUUGUUCGGAAUUACUGGGCGUAAAGCGUGUGUAGGCGGCUACGCAAGUCGGAUGUGAAAGCCCCAGGCUUAACCUGGGAAGUGCACCCGAAACUGCGCAGCUUGAGUAUCGGAGAGGUUGGUGGAAUUCUCGGUGUAGAGGUGAAAUUCGUAGAUAUCGAGAGGAGCACCGGUGGCGAAGGCGGCCAACUGGACGAAUACUGACGCUCAUGCACGAAAGCGUGGGGAGCAAACAGG
rnacentral:rRNA from 1 species